AGUCGUAACAAGGUUUCCGUAGGUGAACCUGCGGAAGGAUCAUUAACACUUUUUGGUUUUCCAAAAACCAAUUUUCCUUUCAACACCUAAUGUGAAUUGUUUUAUUUGUCGUGUGAAAUUUUCCCUUUCUCAAAAAGGCAGAGAGUGUGUUAGGAAAUUGAGACUAUGUUUCAAUUUCUUUUCCAGUCUAUCUUGCUUGGUUGGGUGGGAGAAUUUCACUCAACAAUUAAACCCCAUAAACCAAUUUUAAUGUAACCAAAAAAAUUACAAAAAAAAAAUUGACAGAGAAACUCUAAGUUUCCUAAAUAACAACAAUAAAAAAACAACUCUUAGCAAUGGAUAUCUUGGUUCUC
rnacentral:misc_RNA from 1 species